UACGUAGGGUGCGAGCGUUGUCCGGAAUUAUUGGGCGUAAAGAGCUUGUAGGCGGUUUGUCGCGUCUGCUGUGAAAACCCGGGGCUCAACUUCGGGCUUGCGGUCGAUACGGGCGGGCUAGAGUUCGGUAGGGGAGACUGGAAUUCCUGGUGUAGCGGUGAAAUGCGCAGAUAUCAGGAGGAACACCGGUGGCGAAGGCGGGUCUCUGGGCCGAUACUGACGCUGAGGAGCGAAAGCGUGGGGAGCGAACAGG
rnacentral:rRNA from 1 species